rnacentral:rRNA from 1 species
AGAGUUUGAUCAUGGCUCAGAUUGAACGCUGGCGGCAGGCCUAACACAUGCAAGUCGAGCGGUAGAGAGAAGCUUGCUUCUCUUGAGAGCGGCGGACGGGUGAGUAAUGCCUAGGAAUCUGCCUGGUAGUGGGGGAUAACGUCCGGAAACGGACGCUAAUACCGCAUACGUCCUACGGGAGAAAGCAGGGGACCUUCGGGCCUUGCGCUAUCAGAUGAGCCUAGGUCGGAUUAGCUGGUUGGUGGGGUAAUGGCUCACCAAGGCGACGAUCCGUAACUGGUCUGAGAGGAUGAUCAGUCACACUGGAACUGAGACACGGUCCAGGCUCCUACGGGAGGCAGCAGUGGGGAAUAUUGGACAAUGGGCGAAAGCCUGAUCCAGCCAUGCCGCGUGUGUGAAGAAGGUCUUCGGAUUGUAAAGCACUUUAAGUUGGGAGGAAGGGCAGUGGAUUAAUACUUUGCUGUUUUGACGUUUCCGACCGAAUAAGCACCGGCUAACUCUGUGCCAGCAGCCGCGGUAAUACAGAGGGUGCAAGCGUUAAUCGGAAUUACUGGGCGUAAAGCGCGCGUAGGGGGUUCGUUAAGUUGGAUGUGAAAUCCCCGGGCUCAACCUAGGAACUGCAUUCAAAACUGACGAGCUAGACUAUGGGAGAGGGUGGUGGAAUUUCCUGUGUAGCGGUGAAAUGCGUAGAUAUAGGAAGGAACACCAGUGGCGAAGGCGACCACCUGGACUGAUACUGACACUGAGGUGCGAAAGCGUGGGGAGCAAACAGGAUUAGAUACCCUGGUAGUCC